AACACUGACUCGGCCUUUUGGCUAAGAUCAAAGUGUAGUAUCUGUUCUUAUCAGCUUAAUCUCCAUAUAUAUAUAUAUAUAUUAUAUAUUUGUCACUCCAAAUCCCU
rnacentral:snRNA from 1 species